GAGAGCCCGUUACGGGGAAACUCGUACGGCGGGUUCGGAGGGGGGCCGUGCGGAAAAGGGCCUGCACAUGGCAGGUACCUCGUCGCGCGGCCUACCCAAC
rfam:Streptomyces curacoi strain DSM 40107 genomic scaffold PRJNA299217_s010, whole genome shotgun sequence.